rnacentral:rRNA from 1 species
UGGGGAAUCUUCCGCAAUGGACGAAAGUCUGACGGAGCAACGCCGCGUGAGUGAUGACGGUCUUCGGAUUGUAAAGCUCUGUUAAUCGGGACGAAUGGUUUGUGUGCAAAUAGUGCAUAGACAUGACGGUACCGGAAUAGGAAGCCACGGCUAACUACGUGCCAGCAGCCGCGGUAAUACGUAGGUGGCAAGCGUUGUCCGGAAUUAUUGGGCGUAAAGCGCGCGCAGGCGGACUAGCCAGUCAGUCUUAAAAGUUCGGGGCUUAACCCCGUGAUGGGAUUGAAACUACUAGUCUAGAGUAUCGGAGAGGAAAGUGGAAUUCCUAGUGUAGCGGUGAAAUGCGUAGAUAUUAGGAAGAACACCAGUGGCGAAGGCGACUUUCUGGACGAACACUGACGCUGAGGCGCGAAAGCCAGGGGAGCGAACGGG